UGGGCUAUAGCCAAGCGGUAAGGCAUCGGACUUUGACUCCGAUAUCGGUGGUUCAAGUCCACCUAGCCCAGCCA
rnacentral:tRNA from 1 species